GGGAAAUUAGCUCAAGUGGUAGAGCGCUCGCUUUGCAUGUGAGAGGUAGCGGGGGUCGAUGCCUGCAUUCUCCA